AGUUUGAUCCUGGCUCGAAUGAACGCUGGCGGCAGGCCUAACACAUGCAAGUCGAACGGAGUUAUAUUGUAGCUUGCUAUGGUAUAACUUAGUGGCAGACGGGUGAGUAAUGUAUAGGAAUCUACCUAGUAGUACGGAAUAAUUGUUGGAAACGGCAACUAAUACCGUAUACGCCCUACGGGGGAAAAAUUUAUUGCUAUUAGAUGAGCCUAUAUUAGAUUAGCUAGUUGGUGGAGUAAUAGCCUACCAAGGCAAUGAUCUAUAGCUGAUCUGAGAGGAUGAUCAGCCACACUGGAACUGAGAUACGGUCCAGACUCCUACGGGAGGCAGCAGUGGGGAAUAUUGGUCAAUGGGCGAAAGCCUGAUCCAGCCAUGCCGCAUGAGUGAAGAAGGCCUUUGGGUUGUAAAGCUCUUUUAGUGAGGAAGAUAAUGACGGUACUCACAGAAGAAGUCCUGGCUAACUCCGUGCCAGCAGCCGCGGUAAUACGGAGAGGGCUAGCGUUAUUCGGAAUUAUUGGGCGUAAAGGGCGCGUAGGCGGAUUAGUAAGUUAAAAGUGAAAUCCCAAGGCUCAACCUUGGAAUUGCUUUUAAAACUGCUAAUCUAGAGAUUGAAAGAGGAUAGAGGAAUUCCUAGUGUAGAGGUGAAAUUCGUAAAUAUUAGGAGGAACACCAGUGGCGAAGGCGUCUAUCUGGUUCAAAUCUGACGCUGAGGCGCGAAGGCGUGGGGAGCAAACAGGAUUAGAUACCCUGGUAGUCCACGCUGUAAACGAUGAAUGUUAAAUAUGGGAAGUUUUACUUUCUGUAUUACAGCUAACGCGUUAAACAUUCCGCCUGGGGACUACGGUCGCAAGAUUAAAACUCAAAGGAAUUGACGGGGAC
rnacentral:rRNA from 1 species